UACAGAGACUGCAAGCGUUAUUCGGAUUCACUGGGCGUAAAGGGUGCGCAGGCGGUCGGGUGUGUCAGAUGUGAAAUCCCGAGGCUCAACCUCGGAACUGCGUCUGAAACUACUCGACUAGAGUACUGGAGAGGGUAACGGAAUUCACGGUGUAGCAGUGAAAUGCGUAGAUAUCGUGAGGAACACCAGAGGCGAAGGCGGUUACCUGGACAGUUACAGACGCUCAGGCACGAAAGCAUGGGGAGCAAAAGGG
rnacentral:rRNA from 1 species